GCCGCUGUGGCGCAACGGAUAGCGCGCUGGACUUCUAAUUCAAGGUUUGUGGUUCGAGUCCCAUCAGCGGUG
rnacentral:tRNA from 1 species